GGUCUUUGCAAAUAAUUCUUUUUCACAGCCAAGACUUCUCUGAAGCACAAAGAUUCUCUGGAGGAUGAAAUCAUCCAACUCAGUCAAUAAACAUCUAUCUGAAGUAGUAACACUUUUUGUUUCUGCUUUAGAGGAGAUUGCUGAUACCAGACUCGAAGAACAUGAGCACUAUGAUGUGUCUGCUUCCCCUUCACCUUCCAUCAUGAUUGUAAGUUUCCUGAGGCCUACUCAGCUAUGAUUCCAAUACAGCCUGCAGAACUAAUAAAGAGCCAGAGGAGUUCUGCUUUCCCAUGACUUACAUCACUCUGCAGACAAUUGGCAGCCAGGAGACGGGCAGCUGCCGCAAUCUUCAGAUUUCUCUCUAUUUAAAGUUCAAAGAGACGCUGGAUAACAAAAGAAAGAGGUAAGCGUGGCCUGACCUAGCCACCCACCAACAGGAAUAAUGGCUGAAAAAGCGGGGUCUACAUUUUCACACCUUCUGGUUCCUAUUCUUCUCCUGAUUGGCUGGAUUGUGGGCUGCAUCAUAAUGAUUUAUGUUGUCUUCUCUUAGAAAGGCAAGAAGAUAUCAGAUUGACAUCAUUUAGAAGAAUUAAGAAAACUAUGAACAUGACUGAUUAUUAAAUGUCUCAUGUUAAACAAUGCAAUGUUUGACAUCACUUUACAAACUUGGAUCAUAAACUGGCACUUUGGAUCCAAACCAGGGUUCCACCACCAUGAUCUCAGCCAUGAUGUCUCUUUGGCUUCCUCCAAUCU
rnacentral:lncRNA from 1 species